rnacentral:rRNA from 1 species
UACAGAGGGGGCAAGCGUUGUUCGGAAUUACUGGGCGUAAAGGGCGCGUAGGCGGCCUUCUAAGUCGAACGUGAAAUCCCCGGGCUCAACCCGGGAACUGCGUCCGAGACUGGAAGGCUUGAAUCCGGGAGAGGGAUGUGGAAUUCCCGGUGUAGAGGUGAAAUUCGUAGAGAUUGGGUGGAACACCAGUGGCGAAGGCGCCUGCCUGGCUGAUUACUGACGCUGAGACUCGAAAGCAUGGGGAGCAAACAGG